ACACUAAAACUGCUUUAUUUAGCUAAAGUAAUUUAGGUGACUAUAGUGUUCCUUUAUUAUUCCCAUAAAUUUGUAUGUCAGUGUAAGAAUUUGCUAAAAUUGCUCAGCCUUUUCUAAGGUUAGAAGAGGGGGAGAUUUAACAAUAAAUGCUUACUGUCGAUGAUGAUGCUAAUAUUUAAAAGUGCUAUGGAAUGUAUUGGUGCUCUAUAAAUGCUGAUAAUAAAAUAAUUAUGGGAGACUGCUUGUAUACGAUAAGUCAGAUUUGAAGCCUAGCGUGGUGUAUCUUUUUGAUUAUUCUAUAAAGCAG